CUUAUCCAGAGCGGCUGAGGGACUGGCCCGAUGAAGCCCGGCAACCGGCGGAAACGCAAGGUGCUAAUUCCAGCAGCACGGUUUCGUGCUGGCAGAUAAGG
rnacentral:ncRNA from 1 species